rnacentral:lncRNA from 1 species
CUUGCAGAAAUUCGACAGGGAAGAAAAGCAAGUCACCAGGGACUGUAUCCUUGAUUAGUGGCUGCGAUCCUGCAACACACUUCAUCCUGCCCAAUCCCCAUCGAUGUUGGCAUUUUCCUACUCAAUUGAUGUCCUCAUAUUUUCCCUGCUCCAUCUACACACCAUAUAUUUCCUCAGCUGUUUCCUGUUGAGAAGUGUUGUCG